GGCCUCGUAGCUCAGUCUGCUGGAGCGUUGGCUGGACUAAAGCCUUCACCCUGCUGGCGUGGGUUCGAAUCCCACGGAGACCG
rnacentral:tRNA from 1 species